rnacentral:rRNA from 1 species
UACGGAGGGUGCAAGCGUUGUUCGGAAUCACUGGGCGUAAAGGGCGCGUAGGCGGCUCAUGAAGGCUGUGGUGAAAGCCCGGGGCUCAACUCCGGAACUGCCUUUAAGACUGCAUCGCUUGAAUCCGGGAGAGGUGAGUGGAAUUCCGAGUGUAGAGGUGAAAUUCGUAGAUAUUCGGAAGAACACCAGUGGCGAAGGCGGCUCACUGGACCGGUAUUGACGCUGAGGUGCGAAAGCGUGGGGAGCAAACAGG